AUUGAACGCUGGCGGCAGGCCUAACACAUGCAAGUCGAACGAGUGGCGGACGGGUGAGUAAUGCUUGGGAAUCUAGCUUAUGGCGGGGGAUAACUACGGGCAACUGUAGCUAAUACCGCGUACCAUAGGAUGAGCCCAUGUGGGAUUAGGUAGUUGGUGAGGGAACGGCUCACAAAGCCGACGAUCUCUAGCUGGUCUGAGAGGAUGACCAGCCACACUGGGACUGAGACACGGCCCAGACUCCUACGGGAGGCAGCAGUGGGGAAUAGUGCGCAAUGGGGGCAACCCUGACGCAGCCAUGCAGCGUGAAUGAAGAAGGCCUUCGGGUUGUAAAGUACUUUCAGCAAGGAGGCGUUACUCACAGAAGAAGCACCGGCUAACUCCGUGCCAGCAGCCGCGGUAAUUC
rnacentral:rRNA from 1 species